GCAACGGCCACACACUAUGGAGCUCCAAUAGCCCCACAUUUCAUUUCUGAGGUGCCUUUGCCUCAGAUACCCCUUUUUAAGCUUUGCUUGCCCAUUGGUAGUGUAAAUAUAGAAACACAAACCCUGCUAUUUUUUUCUCUCCAAACAUGUCCCUCCCAUAUAAGCAUCAUCUGCGCGAUCACUCCAGCUGCUCCUAUACAUGGUGUGACCUUUUUUUUUUUUUCACCCCUUCCCUCACUCCUUCCCUUCCCUGCCCAUCGCAGGGGGCUGGGGGCCAAUCGGCUCCUGCAGACGAUCGAAUGUCACUAUAACUUGAGAGCAGCAGCACCCCAGGACGCCCGCAGAUCCCAGCCCGUCCCCUCUGCAGGGAGCUCCGCGCCUAUCUCCACUCCCCCCAGAAACUCACUGCCAACAUGUCUGAUACUGAGGAAGUGGAGCACGGAGAGGAGGAAUACGAAGAAGAAGCUCAUGAAGCAGAAGAGGUUCACGAAGAAGGUAUGUGAAAGGACGACUCAGCUCUGCCCUUUGCAGGGCUCAUUGUCGAUGUGUCCAUCAUUUUGCAAGGAUGUAGAAGAAAACAAGAGGCGAGAGAAGGAUGCUGGGACAAGGGAUACCUCACCUGAAAACAUUUUCUUCCCCUGAGUCUCUCCAUUCCCACACGAGGAGCAACUGGUUUAGCAAGGCAUCUGAGGAAGUUUUGGGGUUCCACCAUGCAUGCCCCAUACUUUGCGUAGCCAUCAACACCUCCACUGGUUUUAGGGAGGGUAUAGCAUGGGAAAUGUGGGCACCAUCCCCUUCACCAACCCCACAGCAAGCUCUGAGGCUGUUUUCAACCCUGGCUGUUCAUAAGACCAGCUGCAUAGCAGCUGGGGUCUAGCUCUAAAGGUCUAUAUCCCAUAUCAACUGGUUUCUCUUGUGUAGCUUGGCAGAUAAUGAUCAGAUGGAUUUUUAAAGCCAAAAUCCAUCUGUGACAAGGUAUGCGUGUAGCCAUGUGUUACACAGUACAUAUUCUAUAAUAUGUAAUAUUAUAUAUAGUAUGUCAUAUAUAUUAUGAGUUACAGACAAUAAUAUAUAGUAUUAUAUAUAAUAUAAAUAAUAACACCUGCAUUCUGUGGUGUUAUUAGUUAUAUCUGUGAGGAUACUGGCAAAUAACUUGGCUGGCUCUCUGCGGGGUGCGUGGUGUCUGCAGGAUGAGGAAAGGGGCUGGAACAGAAACACACCCUUUGUACUUGAUUUGUCUGGGCCUUGGUGCUCCAAGUAUGAGGAGCCAAAGGGUGGGUCAGUUCCCUUUGCAUUUGCAAAGCUUUGUGCUACGGGCACGUAUGAAAAACCCAUAAACCUGUUUAUAAUAGGGGCAGACCAGCACUGCCCAGUUGGCAGGGUUUUUGCAGAGUGCAGGUCCUGAAGGAUUUACAUUUCCUGAAUCCAUGCACACCUUGGUCACCUGCCUCCAUUUCAUGUUUCUCUGUUUCACGCCCCUGUGUGUUCUCUUCUCCCCUGUUGCUUUCACAUACCCUUUAGUCCAACUGCUCUUGUUUUCCAUCUCACUGUUCUUGUUCCCUGCUUCAUCCCAGCUGCUGGGGCCCAUGAAGAAGGUACAUGCCUUGGCCUUCUGCAUCCCCCGCCAUCAUCUCCUUAGCAC
rnacentral:lncRNA from 1 species